UUUCCUGUGGGCAGAGGUGUGGCUCAGGGCUCUGCCCAGGACGCUGCCCUGCGGGCCCCAAACCACCCCUGUGCCUGGUGCUGACAAAGCUCCUGGGUCUGUCUCCUGCCCUGCCUCUGCUCCAAGCCACCUCCUCCAGGAAGCCCUCCCUCCUGUGAGCUCCCAGCAAGUGGAGUGCUCACUGUCCAUCUGUCUCCUCUGAGAGCACGCUGCAGGGAGAGGGUAGUUUAUCCUCCUUCAUGUCCCUGUCACCUGGCACCUCUGGGAAAGCCACGUCCUGAGCUCUGGCUGGGUUGGCAGAUGCAUGGCAGCAGUUUCCCUCUGGACCCUUUAUGCUGCACGCGAUAAAUCCGAAGCAAUUUGUGGAAACUGCAGUCCAGCCCUCAGAGGGUCUGAAGAACGCCAUUUAAAGAGACCAAAAUCCUGCCCCAUUCCCCCAACCUGCCAGGCCUGCCUUCCGCUUCCCGGGCAGUUCCUGCCGCCCUGCAACCCUCAAAGUGCGCCUGGGGAAGCCCAAAUGGGCAUCUGCACCCAAACUGAGGUCGGAGGAGAAAGAGAAAGGGGCAGGGGAGGGGGCAACUCUGGCCUCCAGCCAUUGCCUCCAAUAAGGCUCUGACCUGGGAGGCGGCACCUAACCUGUUCUCAGACCCUGGGGACCCCCACACCCGGGGCCUGCGUCGGCCGAGCCUGAGCUGGGUCUCAGACGCGUGGUGACAAGGGAGGAGGGCAUCGUAGGGUGCCUGCAGGGGCUGGGGGGCUGCGUCUGCUCCUGCCCCCCCACCCCUCCCCUCCCCCCUACUUAGUCCUCUUUUACAGAUGAGGAAACUGAGGCUCAGGGAGGGGAAGAGAAUGGCAGGGGCCACAGAGCUGGUCAGCAGCGGGUAGAAUGGGGUCUUCGAUGCUGACCCAGACCUACGGCCGUCUGGGCUGCCCCACAGGUUGGGGGCUGUUACUCAGAGUCAAGGGUGCUUGAGGACAGAGCCCCAGAAGGGUCCAGGGCUGAGGGAAGAGUGGGCUGGAGGAGGGACCCUUGGCCUCAGAGGAGCAUGGAGUAGAGAAUGAGCUGAGUUUCUCCAUUGUCCCCAAGGGCGCGCUCGCCCAGGGAGACCCUGAGGCCGCUGGAGCUGAACCAGCAAGACGGGGAGAAACAGUGGGGUCAGAUCUCGCCACUGCAUUUUGCAGGAAGUAAGUCUGGUGACACUGCUUGGCUGUUAUGCUCAUUCCCAGGUCCAGAAUCCAGAUGCAGACCAAGGUCAGAGGGGAAGAGAGGCACUGCAACCCCUCCUGAUGACUUGCUACCCCGCCCCUCCCACCCUGGGGGUCCUUGUGCAGCCCCUCUGUCUGGAUGCAGGAGCUCUCAGGGAGACGGGGUGGACGAGUGAUGGAGAAAGCGUGGAGGGGCACAGCCCGAGGUCGGACCCCUACUCCUUCCUCCUCAGCUUUGUGGCCCUGGGCACGUUGUUUAACCUCUCUGAGCCUGGGUUUCCUCAUCCGUCAAAUGGGCGUGGCCUCAGUGGGUGGAGAAGAGAGGAGGAUGGAACCAGGGAGGGGUCCAGACAAGGCCCCUCCCCACCCACAGCCCACCACAGGCCCUCACGACCCUCUGAGGCCCUGCUGGGAAGUUGAGCCCAAGGCUCAAGAUCAGCCCAGGGAGGGAAGCCUUGCCUUUUGAACUUGUAGAGGAUGAAGGCCCCCACCGCGAAGAGCCCGAUGACAAAGAGGACUGCCACCGCCCAGUAGCCGCCACCUCCUCCCAGCCUCGGAGAAUCUGAGAACAAAGCAGGCCGUUAGCGGUCACCGUGGCACCCCGCGGCCUCCCUAGCUGGGAGGACGGCUCCCCUGAUCUGGCAGGUUCUUCAGGCCUGGGUGUGGCUGGGAAGUGUGGGCAGAUUUUACAGGAUGAGGGGUCACGCUCUGCAGCUGCGGCCUUGGAGGAAACCCCGCCCUGGCCCCCAGGUCUCCCGCUGUGUAAACCCCAGCCCUGGCCACACGCCUGCGACGGCCGGAACUCCUCCGCCCAGACCUGCACUGUGCGGGCAGGGCUCUUCACAGGAGCAGAAGGCAGCCCUGCAGCUUCUGCGAAGCUCCUUGCCCCGCAGAGGGGAGGACAGUCCAUGGGGGCGGGGGCAGAGACAAACGAAAACAAAAGCUCCGUGUUGCCUCUGCCAGGAGGGACAGUGGGGCCCUUCAGUCUGGCCGGGUUUCAACCGGGGCGACCACCCAGCCAGGAGGAGCAUGUGGGCUGCGGAGGGGGCCCUCUGCUCCCCCCCACAGUGACGGGCAUUGUCCGAGGGGCCGGGACGCACGCGCACCCACCCUGCAGGGCGAGCCCAGGCCAGGCCUCUCACCUGUGUCCACGUCCCUCAUGGCCACCAGGACCCGGACCCCACCUCGCAGAAGGAAGCUGAUCUUCUGUGCGUUCAGCGCCUGCUGGAUGGCCGUGAGCCUCUGAAAGCACAGAGAGGGGGUGUGGGGGCCUCAGAGACCCAUCCGGGGGAGCAGGACAGCCGGACAGACGUCCACCCCAACUCUCUUGUGCCGUGGGCCUGGGAGGGCCACUCAGCCUUGCUUGGCCUCAGUCGCCUCAGCCAUAAAAUGGGAAUGCUGGCCACCAGCCAGCUCUCACCAAGAACCUACAAUGGGACGCGAGGUGACCCAGACGGGGCCCUGCCCUCAGAGAGGUUCAGUUCAGUCCGGACCAUGGAGUUGGGGAAACCCAGGGAUGUUCCAGGAGGCCCCCAAGCCCGGACGUCAUCAGAAAAGGCUUCUUGGAGGUAGAAGACCAAGAAGAGGACAAGAUGGGGACAGGACAGGUGACCCAGGCAGGCGAGUGACCCCACACCCGAGGCGGAGAAGCCCCGGGAGGUGCCGUUGCUGGAUCAUGUGCAGGGGAGCAGCUGGCCUCUGGGGCGCCCAGCUGGUUGGCAACUCACAAGGGGUGUUCAGAAGGGAACCUAUCAGCCCAGGUGGGUGUCAGGUGUCACCCUUCUGCACGGGUGGGUGCAGAGGUGCUGGGGAAGGAGGCCCUCAGAAGGAUGGCGGUCCCCGCGGCUGCCGGUCCAGGGCCUCGGGAGGACAUGCCUGGGGGGGCCUCUGCUUACCGCCUCCCUGAGCAGCGUGGUAGCACCUGCCAUUCCACGAGGACUGUUCCCGGCUCACGGGACCGAUGGUCCUGAGUCAGGGACCGUGUAAACAAGAAGCCACCAGCCCCAGACUUGAAGGAUCUGGAAGACCCCUGGUUCUGCCCUUGCCCUCGUGGCCCGGAGGGGUCCCCUAGCUUCCUGUUGUCCCGCUGUCCCUGUGGGUUUGCCGGGCUGCACAUUUCAUACAGAUGGAACCACACGAUCUGUGGCUUUCUGUCCCGGCGUUCUUUCCCUGAGCGUCGUGUGUCCGAGGCUCAUCCGAGUUGCAGCAGGUAGUAGAACUUCACCCCUUCUGCGGCUGAAUAAUAGUCCGCGGUGUGGUCACCUUCUGCUUAUCCUCUUAUCUGUGGGGGGGCAUUUGGGUUGUUUCCACCUCGGGGAUGUUAUGACUGACGUCGCCAUGAACCUCGGCGCGCACGCGUGCGUGUGGACACACAUUUCCAGCUUUCUCGGGUACACCCGGGGCUGGGGCUGCGUGUCACACGGUAACUCUGUGCUGAACGGUUUGGAGACCCGCCAGACCGUUUCCAUGGUGGCCGCACCUUUUACAUGACCCUCCCCAGCAGUGAACAAGGGGACGGCUCCUCCACGCGCUCGCCUGCGCUAGUUACUGUCUGCUUGUUAAGGAAGUACAGCCUCCCUAGAAGGCGUGCAGUGCUUCUGAUUCAUGGUCGAGUCUCCAGCUCAGCUGGAUGGGGGCUGGUUUCUGCUCUGUCCUGGAAUCCAUGCCCGGGGGGUCUCCUGGACGGUGUCUGCCCACUUUCCAGUGGCCCUUGCUGUGAGGUGGGGGUGGUGCGGCCAGCUGAGCUGGCACGCCCCCUGGGAAUUCAUCGAGCCUGGUUCCCUGGUCCCCCCCUAUUUCCACAUCACUGUGACCUUGGAGGCCAGAGGCUGUAGCCACAAGGGGGUGGAGGGCGGGCUGCCUGCAUCCGACAGUGAUGGGCCAGAGGGCCCCCAGGAACACCCUCUCUCCCUACUUGGCCUAUUAAGUCCCAGCCAUGCCUGACCCUUGCACACCAUGGGGAUGGUCCCAGCAUCCUGAGGUGUCCCUCAGCCUUUUGCCUCCACAUCAGCCUCUGCUCGGCCAGGCCCACCCCUGCAGUUCAUUCCUCACACGGUGGCCAAGGGUCCCCAACUCAGACACCUAUUCUAGGACCACCAGCAGCGGGUGGUGAAGCGACCCCUGCACCAGGAGCCUCAGAGCUCACUGUAAUCUCUCCAUUUAGCUCCUGAGCCUCUGUGUCCUCCUUUGUGAAGACGGAGGCUUUGCGGGGAUGAGCAGCGCAAGGCACAAGUGUGCUGUGAACUAUGAACUCAGCAUCUUGCCGUGCGGUGGAGAUGAUUGCUUCAGGGCUCAGGGCCAGGGGUGCACGUGUUUGUGAAUGAAGGAACGGGUGGGGGCAAAUAUUUAACUGAUGUCUGCUGUCCACAGGAGAGGCUGUUUUUAACGUGAAAUGAGGUUUUACGGGUGUGACAACAGCAACAUGACACUGGGCGGGGAGGGUCUUGUCCAUUCAUUGUGAAUGUCUCCCCCCAGGAGGGGCGUGGAGCCCCCGUGAGCACAGAGCAAGGGGACCCAGGCUCAACAGGACGCUCGACCACGUCGGCAUCAUGAGUCCUCCUAAGGUCAGACAGUCACGUGACAGUCCUCGGGCCUGGCUCCUGGGAGGCAGGCGGUCCGGUGCCAGUCCCGGCCCUGUUGUUGCGGGGGGGGCCUUCUGACGUCCCUCAGCUGCGUGAGUGCCGAGGGAGGCCAGGGGCGGCAGAGCUGCACACGCCAGCCCCUCUGCCCGGCCCGCCCCCACGCUGAGGCGCCUGAGAAGGAGGGGAUACGCUGCCCGUCCCAGGGCGGGUGGAGGGACUCACCCAGCACGCGGACCACCUUGGAGUCCUGCAGCACCGAGGUCCCGCAGGCGGCCUGCACCGUCACACGCACGUCCCCUGUGUCCCCAAACCGUGUCGUCACAGAGUUCUCCAGGGAAAGCAAGGGCUGCGGGCACAAGCAGGGAUCAGGGCCAGGCUGAACAGUGGGCCCCGCAGUCAGUCUGCUGCCCAGGGCCGCACUGAGGACACGCACUCCCCCGACUCUCAUCAGGACGUGGGCACCUGGGGGCAUGGGGAGGGCCUGGUUCUAGGCUCCCAGCACGAACAGGAGUCUCCCAGUCGCCCCUCCCCUCCAGAGGCCCCAAGACCCUCCCUAUAGCCAGUGUCGGGGGCCCAUGUGGCUGCGGGCUGGGCGCCCUCCCCAUCCCUUUCAUCGUCCCGCCCCCUCACUCAGCUGGGCGUGGCCCCUUCUUCCUCGGACCCCAGAGCCAGGGGGCACACACAUCAGGACUGGGUGUCAAUACCAGCUCAGACCUUGCAGACGGGAGACUGAGGCUCUGGGAGAUGCGGUGACCGGCCCCAGGAGCUCAGCUGGAAGUGGCCCAGCUGCGACUGGAACCAGGGCCGGAGCCCCUCCCUCAGCCCUCCUCUUUCUAGGGAAACACAGCCCCUCCCGUCUGGGCUCUCUGCCGCUGUUUGGGGACUUUCUGACUGGAGGUGCAGAGCAGCAGUGCAGAAUGAAGGAAGGAUGCCCCCUUGGGGUCUCAAGGCCCCUCCCACCAGGCUUCUGUCCUCAGCUCCCCACUGCUUACAGGACACAACCCACAGCCCUGGGAAAAGGCAGAGUCUGAUCCUAUACCUCCUGCGUCCACCACACUUGGACACAGCCGGACCCCACACAGCUGCUCAAGGGGGAGGAAGGGUUAGGGUGCGCCUGCCUCAGCUCCACGAUGUCACCCACUGUGUCCUGCCCAACAUGGAGGGCAGUGCCUGUCCCACUAUCUGCCCCAAGUGGGAGCCUGCAGGAAGGAGGGAUGGCCAGGGGCCCGGGGCCAGCAUACCUGCAGGCUGUGACCGAUCCACCAGUAGAAGACGGUGAGGUUGGGGUUCAGGGGCAGCAGCACAGCUGUGAGGUUCACUUCCUGGUUCACGCCAAUGACAGGAACCACUUCAAGGGUGUGACGCUUGGCCUCAAAGGGGCGAUGGACUUACGGUUGACCUGUACAAAGAGCACCGCCUCGUCGCGGCCUGCCAUGUUCUCGGCCCUGACAGAGACGCGGUAGACGCCAGGACUCUCGUAGCG